rnacentral:lncRNA from 1 species
GUCCUUAACCUCCUUAGAGACACGGACACUUCGGAAAGCGUUCUGCGGACAGUUAUCAAGAUGAUGAAUUGCAGUGAACACCAAGACACAAAAGCAAAGACUUGGAACCAACCGAAACAUCCAUCAAUGAUAGACUGAAUAAAGAAAAUGUGGCACAUAUACACCACGGAAUACUUUGCAGCCAAAAAAAAGGACGAGUUUAUGUCCUUUGCAGGGACAUUAAUGAAGUUGGAAACCAUCAUUCUCAUCAAACUAACAGAAGAACAGAAAACUAAACACCGCAUGUUCUCAUUCAUAAGUGGAAGUUCAACCAUGAGAACACACGGACACAAGGAGGGGAAUAUCACACACCGGGGCCUAUCGGGGGGUGGCAGGCUUGGGGAGGGAGAGCAUUAGGGGAAAUACCUAAUAUAGAUGACGGGUUGAUGGGAGCAGCAAACCACCAUGGCACGUGUAUACCUAUGUAACAAACCUGUAUGUUCUGCACAUGUAUUCCAAAACUUUAAAUGUAAUAAAACAAUUUAAAAAUGUGUUCAAUUUACCUACAUAUUUAUUAAUUUUCAUAUUUACUUUUUAAAUUGUUUCAUGU